CUGGGCAUGAGCACCGAGGUGCUGGUUGGGUACUAACAUGGUGGUGGGUGAAUGAACAUGUUGGCUGGUGAAGAAUGAGCCCGUGGCCUGACUUGAGGAAUGCUAUUCACGUUAAAGCUGACCUGAAGAGAAUCCAGCAUUCGGCUAAUAAGCUAAUGCUCCUCCGACUCAGUCGUGGGGAUUAUCCUAGUGGCGUCUGAUAUUGAGAAACCUACUUCAUUAGAUUUCAGCUUUGAAAUCCAUCUGGCAUGUGGGCAAAUUAAAAGCUUGAUCCCCUUUCCCACUUGCAGAAGUUGGUCCAAUCAAAGCUAUUACCUCACCCACCUUGUCUCCCCAAUAGCGUGGGACCAGCACGGCUACAACCACCCCUGCAUGAUUAAACAUUGUCAGUGAUGGAGAACCCACGGCGACCCUUGGCAUCAGAACUGGACACAGGAAUCCAGCAGUAGUUGCAUGAGCGCCAGAUACGGCGGUCAUGGAUAAAAAUGUUAAAUAGCAUAGGGCCAAGACCUGAUCCCUGCAAGACCCCGUAAGAAACACACCUGCGCCUUCCCUGUUUAGAUACCUUCGGAGACCUAGUAGUUAACCAGUUUUUAAACCAUUGAAUGUGUGCUAUGUUAAUUUUAUAUCAUUGUAGUUCUUUAAUUAAAAUGUUGUGCAGCACCAAGUCAAACAUCUAAGACUAUGGUCUACAUUAGAGACCUUACAGUGGCGGAGCUGUACUGAUGCAGCUGUGCUGCUGUAAGAUCUUCCACGUAGCCGCUCUAUGCUGACAGAAGAGAGCUCUCCCGCUGGCGUAAUUAAACUAGCUACCACCGCUCGUUGGGGGUAUGUCGGCGGAAGACUGUCUCUCGCCGACAUAGCGCUGUCCGUGCCGGCACUUCUGUCGGUGUAACUUAUGUCAAUCGGGGUGUGUUUUUGUUUCUUCCCCACGCCCCUGAGCAACAUAGCCUUUUGGUUGUUAAAAAUUAUGUCUAUACUAGCACAAGUAUAUUAUGUCAAACCUAUUACCUUUUAUCAACCGAACUUGUAAUCUCAUCAAUAAAGAUAUCUAAGUUAGUUUGACAGGAACUGUUUUCCAUAAACCCCUAUUGAUUGGCAUUAAUUAUAUUAUCCUCCUUUUUAAUUCUUUCUUAAUCAAAUCCCAUACGAGGCAUUCUGUUAUCUUGCUGAGGAUCAGUGUCAGGCUGUCAGGCCUAUAAUUACCUAGGUUAGCAUGUUUACUCUUUUUUAAAAUAUUGACACACCAUUAGCUUUUGUCCAGAACCUCCCCAGUAUUUCAAGACUUAAUUGAAAAGAAAAAUGAACAAUCCAGCAAGCUCCUCAACCAG